ACUGCCCAGUAUCUGCCUCCUUACCAUGCCACUAUAAUAGUUGGGAACCCAUCAACAAUUGAGCAUCUUCUAUACAAAUAUGUUGCAGACCAUCUGUAUAGUUUUCAGUUCCAGAAGAUUCCAGUAACUCACUAAGUUUUAAUACUUUUUUUUUUCUUCUUGUUAAUCUGAUGGGCUGGCCUGAGAUAAGUGAUUAAAGCAAAAGCCUGAAAUAAUUUCUUCGGAGCUAAAACUGCACAGAAGUUGCCAAUUCCUGUAUUUGUUUUCUUACAAGAAACUUGAAGCAGGCAUUUUCCACUGUUAUCAAUUUUUAGGUUCUAUCAAGUCAUCUUUUUUUUUUUUUGUUCAGAAAAAUGUUUUGGUGAAAACGAUUGCUAACAUAAUCUUAGAAAAUAUUUGAACAGGCAAUUCUGAAGUUUUUCCAGAGACUUGUUGGUGUUAUAGAGACCAGUAGAGUGAAAUGAUCCCAUCAUCAAAAAUAUAUGCAGAAAAAAGAAGAGUGAAGGAAUCCAUAACUCCAUGAGAGCUGCAUGGUCAACUUGUGUCACUUCUGCCACCCUGCUGAAUGCCAUGUCACACUGCCAGCGCUUGGAAGCACUCACUGCUGGCUUCUGCGGGACUGGAAGGAAAGGAAGACCUGGACACACUGACUACAUCUAAACUAUUAAACAAAAUUAGUCAGAGAAUUUUCCUGGAGGCCAACUGGCAUGAAAGAGCUUGAAUCCACGCAGCUAAACUCUCUCACCCUCCAAAUCACAGUGACCACAUCCAAAAUAUCUGUUGGAGGUGGUGCCUGACCUGGGUCAAUACCCAAGCUGUGCUUUGGCAUUGUCUGGAAGAGCAUUAGCAGGCUUGCACCAAAAUCAUGCCAGGGACCAGUUUAGUAGUAUGGAUGGUUUCAGGCCCAUGCCUUGCUGGUCUUGUUCAGUUUAUUUAGUGUCAGAGGGAAACCUCAGGAAUUCUGCCAGGAGUCAACAGGAAACUCCUUCUGGCCUCAGCAACCAGAAUCUGCUGAGAAGUAUAAUCAUUAGGUUGUUCACCUCCUUCACAUUUAGAUUAUUUUUCUUAUUUUAUUGUCUACCAAAUGGGCACUGAAAAUUUUUGAAAUCUCAUGGAGUAAUAAAGUUUGCUUGUUGCCUGCACAAAACUUGUUAGUUUUGAACUACCAAGAGAUUUUUCACACAAGCUGAGCUUCUUGAAAAGCCAGCUUCAGCUCUCCUCCCUGAUGAAGGAUCUCCUCUGGCUUCGAGCAAGUUGCUAAGAGCUUGUGUGACCAGCACCCUGUUUGGAUAUAGGGUUAAAAAGCAAUGAGGUGUUGAGAUACAAAAACACCAGAUGCUUGAGGUCACAUAAGCAUGCUAAACUGGUGUGAACAUAAAACUCCCCUUGAUUUCUGUGGCAAAUUAUUUCACAUGUCUGGGAAGGCAAAUUAUUUUAAACUCUGCAAAAAGAGUAUGUUUUAUAUAAGGGUCUUUUCAAAGUCUGAGCUUUGGGGCUGGCUUUGGAUAAGCCUGAUAUGUACUUCAUACAGUGUGAGGUAGUUUGGAAAGCUUGUGCUCUGUGUUUCUAGAGCUAACUCUGUGCAAUGGUACCCCAAUUAUCCCAUGGAUCACUGUACUUCACACUACUGUGAGAUACUUUUGCCUGCAGCAAUAUAAAUCAGAAUCAGGCAAUUAAUGCCUGAAUCUUUUUCUCUAUUCUGAAGAUAAAUGGCAGUGAAGGCCGAGUCGUUUUAAAAAGCUCAUAGUACAAAAUUAUUAUAUUAGGCCAUGCUGUAUUACUGAGAUUACAGAAAAUUACCUACGUGUAUUGAAUUAAGCCAUGAUUUUCCAAUGAUCUCAGCAGCAGCAGCAGAACUGGGACAAUUUAAUCAUUGCGUUAUCAGUUUGGUAGGUAGCUACUAUCCUGAAUUGCUGCUCAGAAUGAAACAAAUGGUAUUGUUUUAUCCAGAAACUAGCCCUUAUUUAACUUCCAGGACUAGCCCUUACUUUUCUUAGACCUCAGGUCUAUGUUUGAAUUUCUGAAGCUGACAGGCACUGAUGUCAACAACAUUUAAGCAAUGCAUAUUUUGCCUCAGGUUUGCUACAGGAGAAGUGUGCUCUUAAUUAAUGUGGUCAUCUGAUGUACAGCACCUUGCUGAGCUAUCAGAACUUGGUUGUGUGCUUUUACCCAGUGUUCCUUUUUGGGUACAAAGUCUGUUUCAUAACUGACCUAUUCAUGGAUCUGUCUCAUAAAGGGGGUUGUAGAGCCCUACAUGUGCAUAGUCAUACCUGGCCCAGGCAAAUCUUAUUUAAUGAAAAUGUUCUGAAGCAAAGAAUCAAGUUGUUGUCCUUGAUGAUAUACUCAGAAAUAGGUAUUUUUUUCUCUGAGGUGGAUGUUGAAAAGCAGGAAGUAUGGUAAAGCAGAAGAGGAACAUUUAACCUUAUCUGAUUUUGCCUCCAUUUUCCUUCCCUUUUCUGUCUUGCCCCUCAAUCUCCAAGCAGUCUCCCAUGGUUGCUUGCAUAUGGCAGUGGCUGUACUCAGACCUACUGAGACCAGAGCAUCAGCUAAGGUUUGUGAGGCCAUAAUGUGUUUAUUUUUGCAGUCUGAUUUUGUGAGAAACUGAGGAGGUCUUGCAUCUCCCUCCUACUGAUAACGGUGGUGUUGAAAGAGCUCAGUGCAUUCCAGGGCAAAGCCUUGGAGGCUGUGGGUUAGAGAGCUGCUAAUUCUCCUUUGGAAGUACAUGCAGAUUCCUUUGGCCUUCACUGGGGGAAAGCCUGGCUCCCCACUAAAGAAAAAGAAAAGAAAACAACAAAAACCUAAGAUACAAACCCCCAACACAAUAGUUGUGGUGGUCCAAAUAAAACACAAAAACCCCAGUCUCAGCCCAAGCACUCAGUCUGGGGAGGCUUUGGAGCUCGACCCAGGGAUGAGUCCAUGGUUUCUUUGUGGAAGAAAGGCACAGGCUCUGGCCAUGCAUAAGUGGGCUUUGGUGGGCAAGGAUGUUGCCCAGUGCCCUGGGCUGGUAGUCCCUGCCUGCUGGCUCAGUGCUCAUUCACCCUGCACUGGCUCUGAGCUAUGCUCUGCAGCCAUCACCCCAGGCUUCAUCUCAGGCUCUUUCUGACCCUCUUUGGCUGUUUUAAAGCUGGAUCCUUUCAGCUUUAAACUCUCUCAAACAAUUCCUGCUCCUCCCCCCACCCCUUCUCUACUUCCACAACUGAAUUCACUUUUCCAAACCCCCCAUUCCACCAUCUAUCCACUCCAUAUGUUUAUAUUUUCCUAUUGCUGAGGUAUGGCAUGCUGACCUGCCUGGACAGAGCUCCUUUAUCACAGAGAUAAACAUGAUGUCCCCCCUCACAUAGAGUUUCUAUCAUGUGUGACCUUUCAUCUUGAACUGCCAUGACCUUUUUUUUAUUAAUGCUGUACUGUGCUGCUUGCAGAAGCCAGGAAAGAAAAUCUUUUGUUUCUAGAUAGAAUACUGCUAAAGGACAUGAUACGGUCUUGUUUUUAAUCCAGCUAAUUAAAAUCUGCAUGUGCAGUGUAACUGAGAAUGCAGCCUUCGCCCACCACUUUCCCACAGGCAGGGAAUAAAGGCCUUUAGUGCAGCAGCAGCUAGCCACCCUUGGAUAACAGAGAACAGAGACCACAAUUCAUCCCAGCUUUCCUUAUCAUAUUCGCAGAGGGCUUUCCCCUCCCUCCCUCUCUCCCUCCCCCUCUCUCUCCAUGGAAUCACUUACUGUAGCUAUGUGCCUCUAUAUAUCACUGCAGAAUGUAAUCAAGUUAAAAUUAUGUUAGCUCGCAUUUAUCUAUGCUCCAGUGAGCUUCAAAUAUAAUUCAUUUCCAGUAAAAAAAAGAAAGAAGGGGGAGGGGGGGAAGGGGGGAAAAAAGAGAAAGAAAAAAGAGAAAGAAAAAGGAAAAUAAAGUGUCUAUUUCUAAUCAGACAUCAACCCUACUUAUUUUUAAACAGUUCUGCCAAGAACUACUAAAUAUCACGGUUUAGCAGUUCACACUUUUGUAUGUUCAUUAUGUUGGCUUUUUUGGAUUUACUGGAUGGUUGUGGUUAUUACUAAGCUGUCUUUGUGUGUGUGUGUGUUAGGGAGAGGGUGCCAUGGAAUUUUUUCUUAUGAAACAUUUCCUUGGUUAGUUUUUCACUUGUUGGUUUUUGUUGGGUAACUGAAGUGGGGAGGGAGGAGGGAAAGGAAGGCAGCCUGGUGGGAAGGAGCAGUGAGGGCAGAAUGGGAAGCACUAAAAUUGAGCCCCCACCUGUUUUCUCUUUCUUCAAGUCAUGUUUUAUAUGAUGAUGAUGAGGUCAUCAGGAAGUAUAAAAAUGUGCCAGGAGAUUCAAAACUUGGAAGGAGAUUGUACAACAUGAGUAGAAAAUACAUUUCAGUGCAUGUGCAGAAGCCCUUCCCCCCAAGCAGCACACAAACAGGCUUUCUGUGGUCAUUCCCUGGUAACCCUCACAAAGAGCUGCUCAAACAGCUGUGCCCUUGGCUCAGCACCAUCCAUGGGGCUGCUGUGGAAAAUGCUGAUUUGGGGGGCAUUAACUUCCCCAGCACAAAUUGAGAGAAAUACACUCACAGUUAUUAAUGGAAGGAUUGUGAAUCCUGAAUAAAUAAAUAUGUGCCAUGCUGGGGAAUUAUUUCUCUUCUUUAUUGUAACAAAAGUUUCAUAGGUGCAUUGUACUCAAUGAAUGAUUAAAGAUAUAUGAAAAAGUGAUGUUUUGAAUUUCAAUAAAGCUUAUUAGGUGUCAUCAGUACCUGACACCACAUUUUAAAAAUAUCUAAAUAUUUUGAAAACAGAGAACAGUAUGAUUAAAUGAUGUCAGAAGUACCAUGCUGCCUAUAUAUUAAAAUAUGCCACGUUGACCAAACAUGAGAGUGCUUUUCAUCACAAUUUGGUUAUCUUAUGCUGGACUCUAGAAGCAGAAAUAGAGAUCUGUACACUUUUCUGCUUUUACUGCCUAUGGAAGGACAAUAUUAAAUAAGAAAUAGCUAUUACCGUACCUGUAAAAUUCUGAUAGAUUAUAUUUAUACACCAUGGCAUAAGUUUUGACAUAUUUUGGAAUUAGUAUGAAAUCAGCAAAACAGGGGUAGCCAAGAAUACAUUUAUCUAUUUUACCUAGUUAAGGAUUUUUGCUUCUCAUAUUUUGAGGAAUAUAUUCAAUGAUUGCUCUUUAAUAGUGACACCUACUUUGACACACUGAAACGCUUGUUAAUGUCAAGUCACAUAUUUUAUAUAAAAUUAGUGUUUGUAUAUUGUAUAAGCAAUAUAAGACUUAUGAAGUUUUAUGUAUUCCCUUUAAGUGGGCUAAUCCUAAUAAAUAUGACAUUAUUUAUUGUU